rnacentral:tRNA from 7 species
GCCCCCGUAGUUCAAGGGAUAGAACAGCGGACUCCUAAGCCGCGGAUGACCGUUCAACUCGGUCCGGGGGCA